rnacentral:rRNA from 2 species
ACAAACGACUCUCGGCAACGGAUAUCUCGGCUCACGCAUCGAUGAAGAACGUAGCAAAAUGCGAUACUUGGUGUGAAUUGCAGAAUCCCGUGAACCAUCGAGUUUUUGAACGCAAGUUGCGCCCGAAGCCUUUCGGCCGAGGGCACGUCUGCCUGGGCGUCACG